rnacentral:rRNA from 1 species
AAUAUUGGACAAUGGGGGCAACCCUGAUCCAGCCAUGCCGCGUGUGUGAAGAAGGUCUGCGGAUUGUAAAGCACUUUAAGUUGGGAGGAAGGGCUUUCGGUGAGUACACAGAAGUUUUGACGUUACCAACAGAAUAAGCACCGACUAACUCUGUGCCAGCAGCCGCGGUAAUACAGAGGGUGCAAGCUUUAAUCGGAAUUACUGGGCGUAAAGCGCGCGUAGGUGGUUCAGUAAAAUGGGUGUGAAAUCCCCGGGCUUAACCUGGGAACUGCUUUCAUAACUGCUGAGCUAGAGUACGGUAGAGGGUAGUGGAAUUUCCUGUGUAGCGGUGAAAUGCGUAGAUAUAGGAAGGAACACCAGUGGCGAAGGCGACUACCUGGACUGAUACUGACACUGAGGUGCGAAAGCGUGGGGAGCAAAC